UAACAAGUUUGACAUAUAGUAAAAAAGUUGAUGAGGGCACUUGGCAAAUGCCUUGCAAUCUUGGUUUCCAAUAAAAAUACAAGUUGUUAAUUUUAUUUAAUUUUGUUAACUACUUAAAGGAAAAUUGCCAUCAUUUUUGACUGAGCAUUAAAAAAAUCCAUGUAAUAUAGCAUGUGUGUAUUAUUAUUUAAGGAAUACACAAAUGUUUAUCACC